rnacentral:rRNA from 1 species
UACAGAGGGUGCAAGCGUUAAUCGGAAUUACUGGGCGUAAAGCGUGCGUAGGUGGUUUGUUAAGUCAGGUGUGAAAUCCUCGGGCUCAACCCGGGAACUGCGCUUGAUACUGGCAGACUCGAGUGUGGUAGAGGAUAGUGGAAUUCCCGGUGUAGCGGUGAAAUGCGUAGAUAUCGGGAGGAACAUCAGUGGCGAAGGCGGCUAUCUGGACCAACACUGACACUGAGGUACGAAAGCGUGGGUAGCAAACAGG